rnacentral:sRNA from 1 species
AUUGUAAACUAUAAAAUAAUU